GAUUUCCGAAACUUGAAUUGUAUGUCUCUAUUCUCCAGGCGGACUCCUGACUUCUGAAAUUUGAAAUGUAUUCCUCUAUUAUCCAGGCGGGCUCCUGAUUUCCGAAACUUGAAUUGUAUGUCUCUAUUCUCCAGGCAGACUCCUGACUUCUGAAAUUUGAAAUGUAUUCCUCUAUUGUCCAGGCGGGCUCCUGAUUUCCGAAACUUGAAUUGUAUACCUCUAUUCUUCAGGCGGGUUCCUGACUUCAAAAAGACAAAGAAAUCAAUUGAGAACUAAAAAUUUGAAUUGUAUCACCUCUGUUCUUCAGGUGGGCUCCUGAUUGCUGAAACUUGAAUUGUAUGUCUCUAUUCUCCAGGCGAACUCCUGACUACUGAACUUGAACUGAAUGUAUUCCUCUGUUAUCCAGGCGGGCUCCUGACUUCAUCAAAAUAAAUGAACCAAGAAAACUUUCUGCCCCAGUUUGGAAACUGGGUACAUGUUACUUGAUAUUAAUAAGAAUUUGAUUAAAACUUGACUUGAAAUACCUCUGUUAUACAGGCGGG
rnacentral:lncRNA from 1 species